rnacentral:rRNA from 1 species
AUGAGAAAACAAAGCCGCAUGGUUAAUUACUACUCACUCUUGUUAAGGAAGUGGCCGCUGCGUCGGCUAAACGCAGUCUCCCAGCCACGACGGAAGGACUCAAACUUGAGCUCCUCGGUAGACAUCACCCUCUUCUCCUUGGCUAAUUGUGCCUCUGAUUUGCCUCUGUCUACCUCAUCGUCGUCAACACAAUCAGUGUCAGCUCGAUCAUGGCCAUCACUGUUUAUGGACACUUUUGCCGUUGUGUUGGUGGGAAUGGGAUCAGGUUUCUCUGAUACAUCGGUAUCUUGGGCAUCUGCCUCCAUCACUGCCUCAGCAUCAAUCUCCGAAAUUGGUGUGGAGCCGGUGAUCCUCUGGACCCCCUCCUCCUCCAUGGCUGGCUUGCCACACUCCAUCUCAUCCUCUUCCUCGUCGUCACCAGAACCAGUGUCAGCUCGAUCAUGGCCAUCACUGUUUAUGGACACUUUUGCCGUUGUGUUGGUGGGAAUGGGAUCAGGUUUCUCUGAUACAUCGGUAUCUUGGGCAUCUGCCUCCAUCACUGCCUCAGCAUCAAUCUCCGAAAUUGGUGUGGAGCCGGUGAUCCUCUGGACCCCCUCCUCCUCCAUGGCUGGCUUGCCACACUCCAUCUCAUCCUCUUCCUCGUCGUCACCAGAACCAUCAGCGCCAUCAUCAUCAUCUGAAAUUGGAUCUGCUCCUAAUGUCGAACUCAGAUCACUGAGACCAUUCAUAUGCUUCCCCGAGGGGUCCGACAGAUCAGAGAUCGCGGGGGAGCUGCGGGCAGUUCCGGCGGUUAUCCCCAUCCGCUUGCGCAAGACCUUGAUACGAUUGUCGAGAAAACCAAGCCCCUUCUGCGUGCCCAGACUACGGUAG